UGUAGAGGAGACAGCGAAGAGACUUCUAUGGACCAAGGUCCACCUGCACCAAGCCGUAAUUCCGCGCUUGACAGACACGCGCGGUGAGUUGACCGCGGCUGGUUAUGCAGAAAUUUGGAUGGGUACAGUACUACAGUUGAGAUACACAUGGGAGGCACGUGAUAGCAAUACAACCCUAGAGCCUAUCUCAGAUCAUCGAUCCCUCUCUCUCUCAUCGUUCUCCUUGUCUCUCCACCCCCGAAUCAGAGGAGGUGAUUGAGGUUGCGAGUUCCGGCAGCGAUCGGAGGCACCAGAUCGAUAUCCUUCUCCUUCUCAUGGUCAUCUCGCUCAUUGUUGUCCUUGUCCCCCCAAUUUGAUUCACCUCCCCGAUUCAGAAAUUAGAAGGUGUUGAUACAUUGGGGUUUCGAAUAAUCAUCGAUUGGCGGCGGCGUCGUAUUGGGUUUGGCUCUGAGCCUCUGAUUUUUAUGGAAUGUACGAUGUAAUGGAUUGCCGUAUGAUGGAACUGCAGAACUUUGUUCAUCGAAUUUGCCCAUUUUCUCUUUCAAGAUGUUGGUUGAGUUUGUUAUUAAAUGAUAACAGUAAUUGGGGUGACAAAUAUUGUGUUGACUGUUGAAGAUGACUGGUAGGAGUUGUGAAAGCUUGUCUGUACCUGCGUAUAGCUUCUGGUCUUCUAGUACCAGAAGCCAAGCUGUUUCUGCAUUUGGAGGAUUUGCUUUAUGUGGAUAAAGCCAAACCCCAUGAUCGCAGGACGAUGCGUGACUCACCGAUUGUGCAAACUAAGUUGAGCAAAUAGUCAUUUGCAGGUUAAAGAUUUAACUGAGCAGUUUCCAGCCGCUACACCCCUUGCUUUGGCACUGAAACAGUUCUUGGCAGAUUGUAGUCUGGAUCAGUCUUAUUCUGGUGGCUUGAGUUCCUACUGUUUGGUACCACUAAUUGUGCGUUUUCCCCAGCAUGAGUGUCUUCUUGACCGACCUAUCAACCAAGACUUUGGAGACCUUCUGAUGAAUUUUCUUUAUUUUUUUGGAAUGUUUUUGAUCCUCGGCAAAUGCGUAUUUCCGUACAGGGAAGUGGUGUUUAUAUAAAGAGGGAAAGAGGUUGCAGGUUUUUCACCACUGGGCUUCCUUGUGAUGUUGUUGUUGAAGUUGGAGAAAUGUCUUUCCAUCUUCAUAAUUUUCUUUUGCUCUCAAGAAGUCGAGUCAUGGAAGUUGAUUUCAGAAGCAUCUGAAGAUGGAGAUGAAGCAUGCAAAAUAAACCUCCCUCAUAUUCCUGGUGAGCUAAAACUUUCGAACUGGUAGCCAAGUUCUGCUAUGGGGUGAAACUUGAACUGACUGCUUCAAAUGUUGUAUGCCUGCGAUGUGCUGCUGAGCACCUUGAAAGGACUGAAGAGUGUGGGAGGUAAUUUGUCCUUGUCUUCAGAGGAGAGUUGUCUGCCCAUCGCUAGCAUCAUUUUCGCAUUAGUUAUAUCCAGGCUUGAAGAGGAUUGAGCUCUGUGCAGUUGGAACCAAAAUCGAUGAUACCAGCUCUGUUGGCAUCAAAUAUGGUCUCGAUUAUUGUUAUUUUCGAGUUCUAGGUAUUUAGUAUGCUACUAGCUUAUGAUGUUCGAGCACUAGCUUUUUGUUGAUAGUUUGUUACUUUUCUUGCUGUUACUAAUGUUCUUGUCUUUGACAUGUCUAGCUGCCAUAUUUUUUUUUUUUUUUUUUUUUCGGAAUCUUGCUGCCAUGUUGAAUGGAAAUUUUUUGGAGAUGUCAGAAAUUCCGGAGUUUUAAUUUUUGGUGGUUACUGACGAUGGCUUGCUGGAUACAUCUUAGUAAGGGAGCCGAAGGGCAGGUGCAUGGGACAUGUUCCUGUUUAAUUGUUGUUCAAGACCACCUUGAUUACAAGCUAAAUCCUAGUAUGUCCAUAUAUAGAAUUUCUUAAUCUUGUUGUCAAUCUAUUCCUUAUAUGGAAAUAGAAAUUGUCUGAGAGUUCCUUGGAGAAAUCAAGUUUAAAUUACUUUCAUUGUAUAGAACUAGUGUAUAAAUUACUUUCUGAAUAUAGAUUAUGCAUAAAUUCUACC